CCUACGGGAGGCAGCAGUGAGGAAUAUUGGUCAAUGGACGCAAGUCUGAACCAGCCAUGCCGCGUGCAGGAAGACGGCCCUAUGAGUUGUAAACUGCUUUUGUACGAGGGUAAACGCAGAUACGCGUAUCUGUCUGAAUGUACCGUACGAAUAAGGAUCGGCUAACUCCGUGCCAGCAGCCGCGGUAAUACGGAGGAUUCAAGCGUUAUCCGGAUGUAUUGGGUUUAAAGGGUGCGUAGGUGGUCGGUUAAGUGAGAUGGGAAAUUCCGAGGUGCAACUGGAAAAUUGCAGGGGAUAGUGGCAAGAGGGAGUACAAUAGAGGGAGGCGGAAUGCGUGGGGAAGCGGUGAAAUGGGUAGAGAGGAGGAAGAACACCGAGGGAGAAGGAAGUUAAAUGGAUAGAAACUGAAACGGAGGAUCGAAAGUGGGGGGAGAAAACAGGAUUAGAUACCAGUGUAGUC
rnacentral:rRNA from 1 species